GCAUUAAUGGGGUAGUGGUAACCUGGGUCGUUGCCAUCGACCCGCCCUGGGUUCGAUUCCCAGUUAAUGCA